CUGGGGAGUGACGAUGUCACCCAGCCGUGGCCGUUGCGGAGGUCAUGAUCUGAACCUUGACAGCAAUCAGCCAUGACUGCCUUUGCACUGUCCAUGCUCUCAGCCCACCACCUCCUCCCCCUGCCAUUGCAGUGGCUAACACUGGAGACGAAGACCAAGACACCACAGCCUUUCUCCAGUACCUCUCAAAUCAGCACAGACAAGGACAAAGGCCUCAAUCCACAACUGCUGAAGAUGGACCCUGGCCACAUGGGAUGGUCAGACACGCCUGCCCAGCUAUCUGCAGGCGAAGAGGCUCAGAAGAGGUUUAGGGGCCUGAAGGACAUCUUGCUUCCAUGUCCAUAUGAGCAGGCUAUUUCUGCUCCAUGAGUCAAUUUUGCCAUAUAAAAUACUUAAUUUCAGCCAUUCCAGGGUGCUAUAGGAUGCACAGCUUCCCAUCAGCCCACCUGAACUCCAGCCAUGCCAUUUUAAUACCAGGAAUAAGGUCACCUGCUUUCCUGCCCCUUAGGAGGCCGGAGCCGUGGAAGCAAAAUGGCACUUCUGUUUACCUGUUAUAUUAUUUUUUUGUCAUCCUUAUAUGUUUGAAAAAUGCAAUUAUAUGAAAAAAGUUUAGUAAUUACAGACAUAACAGCAGAAAGUCCUCGGAACCAAGCUUAUUCUCAUGGCCGAUUCUGCUCCACCUGGGACUCUGCUGUGCUGCGGGCAUCCUGUGGUCAGAAUCGCAGAGGGGCCAUCAGGGAGGACCUUCCCAGAGGAUGGACCUCACGUGACUGCUGCGUGGGCAAGUGGCACUGGCCACUCUGCCUGGAGAGAGGAGUAAAUGCAGGGCUGGCCAGGCGACCUGCACACUCUGCUACCGGCCUUGUCCAUCUUUAGCCUCUAAUUUGAAAAUGAGGAUCACACAGACCAAGAGUAUCUUUGAGGGUUAGUACAGACCACAGAAAUGCCCUGGGCCUUUCACUCUCUCCUUUUGCAAAUUCCCAUGUGUGGAAAUGCCGUUUGGAUAAUGAGGGAGCCUGAAGGAGGUGGACACAUGAGCAGCCCCGACAGGCCUGGCUCCAUCCUCUGAAAAUGGGGCCCCGUGCCCGGCGUGUGGCCUUACUGGUUCAGUCUUCUUUACAGUGGUAGGUUUUGAGUGCCCAGAUGCCCAGUGCCUCCUACCCGGAACAGGACAGGACCAGGCUGUCCCCUGGAAGAAUCCCAUGCACACUUGGCUAUUCAGGGAGUUUCCACCCAGCCGAGCUCGCCUCUGUGGCUACCCUGGUCUUGCUGCUCAUAUCUGCCAGGAAAGGCCUGGACUUGGAGAGAAACCUGGGAUUUGGAUUCAGUCCUUGCCAGCCUGGCUGGUUCAUAUCCUUACCUCUGUCUGUGGAAGCCUAUGUUCCUGAGCAGCGAGUCAGAGGGGGCAUCUGAACGCAGAGCAGGGAGCUUCAGAUGGGAAGAAGUCAGAGGAACCAGAAUGUAUCAGACGAUGUGGAGUUGGGUGCCUGAGCUCAAAGCAAGCUGGGCCUUGGGCUGGCUGUGUGAUCUUGGGCAAGUUCGACCAGCUUCUUUGUGCCUCUUUUCUCUCCUUAAUAAGAUAAAUGUCUUCACUAGUACACUGAGGGCUGCCAUUAAGUUCUAUGUGCAGGGAUCCAAGGCAGGCCCUAGGUCUCUUGGUGAGUGCUACUCCUCCUUACAAUUUGCUGCCCGGAGCAACAUUGGGUGACAGAACUUCUUAGCACCUUGGCAGUCCUUGUCCUCCUGGACCCUCUGUUUUGAGGGUGGAAUGAGGUGAAGGGCAAGUGCUUUCCCAGCUGGUCAGGUGCUCUACCAACUGGGCAUAUUCUAAUCCCCCCAGAGUAUACAGAUCAGAGUUUGAUGUGGCCAAUGGGUCCAAUGCCCAAGUGAGAAUCUCUUGAUGAAGUUAUUGGUGUGGGGUUUUGCUUUGGUUUUUAAUUAUAGAGAGCAAAAGUAUUGAAAGUAUUACAUUUACCCUAAAGGUGUAAGCAAGUUAUGGUCAAGUGAAGAUGAAGUACCAUCCUCAAACACGGGUUCCAUUCUUAGCUCAUCUCAUUUAAAGGAGAGAAAAGCCUUGCAGGUGAAACAUGGUGGGGGUAGACAGGGGUUCAGCCAAUUUCAGUGUUUGGCCCCAAGAAGUGAAUUUGGGUUUGAGGACCUCUCUCUGGAAGGAUUUUAUGACCAGAUCUUCCUGGAGAUGAUAUUAGAAGCUUUUCUCACCAAAUAUUUAUUUGCCUGGGGUGCAACUUCUGCUUCAUUCUCUCUUUGACUCCAGCUGUCUUUUUGGACUGAAGUGCAGGUUGCUCACAGCAUCCUACAAAGUAACUGUCUUCCCAAAUCUCACUUACCUCUGAGUUUCUGCUGUAUUCCUGUCUUUCUCUCUCUCUUUUUGAACUGGAAUCUAUUACUUUGGAUGAUGCAUGCUGGCGUUUUCUAAAGUUUUCUGAUUGAUUGUGUCUUUAAAAAAUAAUCUGAUAGUAUUUUAGCUUCUUGAAUUUUGUGGCAUAUUUUUAGGCCUCUCCUAAACCCAUUUUUGAGUGCUAUGACAUUGUUCAUGUAUGAAGUUAUGCCAGUAGAAACAAAAUGCUGUCAUAUAGGCUCCCCUAAAACUUCAAAUCUGGUCCAGAUCUUAGACUGGCAGCUUCUGCUGUCAUUGGAUCUCAGUGAGACCUUUGCACCCAUUUCCUCCCUUUGUGAUUCAUCCACGGACAUCCCCAUCUCCUUGAGAACAAUCUCAGGAAUAUUCCUU
rnacentral:lncRNA from 1 species